AUUGAACGCUGGCGGAAUGCUUUACACAUGCAAGUCGAACGGUAGAGGGGGCAACCCCUCGAGAGUGGCGAACGGGUGAGUAAUAUAUCGGAACGUGCCCAGUCGUGGGGGAUAACGUAGCGAAAGUUACGCUAAUACCGCACACGAUCUAAGGAUGAAAGGGGGGGUUCGCAAGACCUCGCUCGAUUGGAGCGGCAGAUAUCAGAUUAGGUAGUUGGUGGGGUAAAGGCUCACCAAGGCAACGAUCUGUAUCUGGUCUGAGAGGACGACCAGCCAGACUGGAACUGAGACAGGGUCCAGACUCCUACGGGAGGCAGCGGUGGGGAAUUUUGGACAAUGGACGCAAGUCUGAUCCAGCCAUACCGCGUGCAGGAUGAAGGCCCUCGGGUUGUAAACUGCUUUUGUACGGAACGAAAAGGUCUCUCUUAAUACGGGGGGCUCAUGACGGUACCGUAAGAAUAAGCACCGGCUAACUACGUGCCAGCAGCCGCCGUAA
rnacentral:rRNA from 1 species